rnacentral:rRNA from 1 species
AGCGGAGCAAUCCGUGAGUAAAGUGGCGUACGGGUGAGUAACACGUGGAUCAUCUGCCCUAGAGUGGGGAAUAACGAGGGGAAACCUUCGCUAAUACCGCAUAAUCCCGAGAGGGGAAAGCCGAAAGGCGCUCAAGGAGGAGUCCGCGGUCGAUUAGCUAGUUGGUAGGGUAAUGGCCUACCAAGGCUACGAUCGAUAGCCGGCCUGAGAGGGCACACGGCCACGCUGGCACUGAAACACGGGCCAGACUCCUAC